AGAGACUUAGGAUAAUUAGACCGAAGGCCUUCAAAGCCUUAAGCGGGAGUGAAACCCUCCCAGUCCCUG
rnacentral:tRNA from 1 species